rnacentral:lncRNA from 1 species
CAAACUAUGCGAGCCGGAAAAGUUAGCAAUGCAACUCACACCUCUGCCCCUAUGAGAAAAUAGUUUUCCUUGCCAUCCAUGAAAUGUUACUGCACUGAUCUUGGACAAUGAAGGAUGCCACCUUUUUUCUUCACAAGUAGUUUGGAUAUCAAGAUAUUUAAAGGGAAAUUUGUUGUUGUUGAGGCUAAUAAAAGGGCAAUCUGGUGCAUUAUGUUCCUGCUAUGCGUGGGGUCUAGGAAAGGACUGAACCCUAAGGAUCUAUUGUAUGUAGCCAUACCCAACAUUUUUCUAAGAGACUAUUUCCACAGCUCAAACUAGUGACCUUCAAGUCACAUGACAACAACUUUACCAGUUACACCAAUGAUCAUUGAUUUAAUUCCUCACUUCUAUCAGCAUUAGACAUCAGUAUUUGGAGCAACGAAAUAACAAGAUUUAUUCAUGCUCACUAGUUGGUCAGAGAUGUGUUCAUAACAUAAGAGCUAGAUGGUACA